rnacentral:lncRNA from 1 species
GCAGAGGGGCCCGCAACGCCUUCCGGACCACACGCCGCCCUCGCUGGGGCCAGGGUUUGUUCCUCGACCUCGGCCGAAGGCAUCUCCCUCCCUCUGGCCCUUCUUCCAUCCUUCGGGAAGGAGACCCGACUCGUCCCCCUUUAGCUCAGUGCAUGUGACUCUGUAGCACGUGAGAGUGAAUUCCCAGUGAUUGCUUUGGCCCCUACAACCAGAGAACAGGAUUCUUCCAUUCUUUUUGGCCACUAAAUGCCUAUGUAUACCACACAUUCCUGCGAGGGAAGAAGGGCGGAGCUUCUUGGAUGAUGAUGGACAUUCCACUGGACAGGAUGAGGGCAGAGAGUGUGACAUCGAUACCACAAAGGAGGAUCACCGAUGGACCUGCUGGGGGUUGUAAAAGUGCAGAUGCUAAACCUACAGAAGCAGAAUCUCCGAGAGAGAAGACGGAGGAUGCGCUGCUCCCCUGCUCUGUCCUAGAAAGUCACGCCCCAUCUGGGCCUCAGUUUCCCAUCGGAGGUGACCUCAGAGCAGCAGCUCCAACUGCUGAAAACCCCCUGACUCUGCAAUGGAGACACUUCUUCUGCCUCAGCUGA